UCCUUGGUGGCCUAGAAGGUAAGGAUUCAGCAUUGUCAUUGCUGUGGCUCAGGUUUGAUUCCUGGUUCAGGGA
rnacentral:tRNA from 1 species